CCUCAAGGCACUGACCUCGAGGUGCCAAGAGGGAGCCCCUCCUCCCCCGCCCCCCCGGCUCUGCGCUCAGCCCGCUCCGCUGAGGUCUCCUGCGCCCUCCCCCGUUUCUCUUUCUCGCACCUGACGUCAGCCUUCGGGAGCCCGUCCGACGGCCCAGGCCCUCCGGGAGCUGCACGCGCCGUCACCUGCGGGGGGCGCACCGCUCCCCGACACGCUCCCCGGGACCGCCGCGGGGGCUCAUGCGGCCUGAGGCACGUCCCGCGGCGACACAGGCCCGCAGCCAGGCCACCCGCGCCGCUCUCCUCCCCGCGCUCUCCUCUCCCGCCACGAGGUGGCCGGGCACCGCGAGAUCCCACGGGUUCCCACGAGUUCCCACGAGACCCCGCGAGAUUGCGCUCUCUCUCGGAGGAGGGCUUGCUGCCGCCCUGCCGGCCCCUGGCGGCCCCUCCUCUUCCGGCCGCGCCGCGUCCGCCUGCUCUCCUGUCGCGCGUACCUCAGCUGAGCCGCAGGUGCAGCCUUGACCGCUGCCCCGCGAGACGCCGCGCCGCGCACGACCCAGGCCCUGUGAGAAGCAGUGGAGCACACAGUGAUCAACACAAGGCAGUGAGACAAGGCCCCCAACCUGCUGGGAUGCCCCAGAGAGACCAAGAUUUCUUCAAGGACUGGCUGGAGGCAAGGCCGUGAAGGUAGGCAGGACGUCUUCCCUACGUUUUCACCAGUGUGUGCUGCAGCUCCCUCCACCCGCGCCUUCUUCCUGCUCUCAGUCCCUGGCUGAGGUCUGGCCUGUCUUAGGGAGUGCUUUACUGUAUUUCUUGCACUCUCCAUAUCCUCUACUCCAAUUUAAGGUCUCAGCUAGAACAUCAAGUCAUAUUAAAUGCAUUCUUAACAAACAUGUAAUUUGAGCACUUAAGUGGCUUGGUGGUUGAGCAUCUGCCUUCAGCUCAGGGCGUGACCCCGGGGUCCUGGUAUGGAGUCCCGCAUCAGGCUCCCUGCGGGCUCCCUGCAGGGAGCCUGCUUCUCCCUCUGCCCGUGUCUCUGCCUCUCUCUCUCUCUCUCUCUCUCUCUCUCUCUCUGUGUCUCUCACGAAUAAAUAAAUAAAAUCUUUUUUAAAAAAACA
rnacentral:lncRNA from 1 species